GGUAGUGUGGUGUAGUGGUUUGAGUGUUGGACUACAACUCUGGAGACCAGGGUUAAAUUCCCAGCUCAGCCA